CGGAUUGUAGUCUGNAACCCGACUACAUGAAGCUGGAAUCGCUAGUAAUCGCAGGUCAGCAUACUGCGGUGAAUACGUUCCCGGGUCUUGUACACACCGCCCGUCACACCAUGGGAGCCGGAAAUGCCCGAAGCCAGUGACCCAACCUUAGGGAGGGAGCUGUCGAAGGUGGAGCCGGUAACUGGGGUGAAGUCGUAACAAGGUAUC
rnacentral:rRNA from 1 species